UUAAUUAAAAUAUAUAGGUGUAUUGCUCUUUCAUGUUGAAUUAAGUGGUUCGGGUGAGUGAUUCAUUAUUCCUAGUCCUACUGAAUUUCCAUUUUAUGUAAAUGAUUGAAAGACUUUGUGAACUGAUGCUAGUCUCUGUGCAAAGUACAUCUACCUACCAUGGCUGCGAAUCUAAUGGAUAAAGUUUAAUAUUUUGAUUCACUUGAUGUACCUGAAUGACUGAAAUAUCGUGAAAGAGUUCAAAUCACAAAGAGAAGACCCACGGUAUAGUUCAGAAUUUAAAUGGAUAUAUUUUUCUCAGUCAUCUCACUGUCAAUGGCAAUUCUAUGUUGGAACAUUCACAGUACUUUUGCAAUCUAUCCCUCUACAGAGUUUGAUUUCAUUCUAAAUGGCUUUGUUGGAAAUGUAUUUUUUAUGUCCUAUAUCUACAACGGUGAACAAAUUGAAAGUGAUGCUGAAUGUUUCAUUGCUGUUAAUGACAUUCGUCCUAAAUCUGAAUGGGACAAGUAUAGUGGUAUAUAUCUAAUAUGUUACAACGCUGAAGUUUGUGGAUAUGCGGAAAGAGCAAAGAAUGCAAAAGAACGGAUGCUCUUGUAUGGAAAACUGAGUUAUAAUCCUAAAAAAGAUCCAAAAAAGCACAAUUAUGUAUAUGGCCUUAGCCAGCCUUCGGGUGCCGUAUUCAAUGGGCAACCUGUAACACCAACUUGAGCUGAUUGAAAUUCAUUUGACGUUGAGCACACUGACCUCAGAAACCCCAAAAGUGCUGCUAAAAUAUCUUAUUGUGAUUUUUAUUCAUAAGGGAAAUGUAUUGUACAAUAAAUUGAUGUUUUGAAGUGGUC